rnacentral:rRNA from 1 species
UACGGAGGGUGCGAGCGUUGUCCGGAAUCACUGGGCGUAAAGGGCGCGUAGGCGGCUCGGUAAGUAGGGGGUGAAAUCCUGCGGCUUAACCGCAGGGCUGCCUUCUAAACUGUCGAGCUUGAGCACGGUAGAGGCAGAUGGAAUUCCCGGUGUAGCGGUGAAAUGCGCAGAUAUCAGGAAGAACACCUAUGGCGAAGGCAGCUCUCUGGGACGGUACUGACGCUGAGACGCGAAAGCGUGGGGAGCGAACAGG